rnacentral:pre_miRNA from 1 species
GAUAUACUCCCUUCGUUUUAAUUUUUUUGUCUUAGCAUUGUUUAAAAAUGAAUGUAUCAAACUACUAAAAUAUGACUAAUGCAUUAUAUCUAAACAAAUUUAAAACAAGAAUUUUGGGACGGAGGGAGUAUGUG